rnacentral:rRNA from 1 species
AGCGAACGCUGGCGGCAGGCCUAACACAUGCAAGUCGAGCGGCCGUAGCAAUACGGCAGCGGCAGACGGGAGAGUAACACGUGGGAACGUGCCCAUCAGUUCGGAACAACCCAGGGAAACUCGGGCUAAUACCGGAUACGCCCUUACGGGGAAAGAUUUAUCGCUGAUGGAGCGGCCCGCGUCUGAUUAGCUAGUUGGUGAGGUAACGGCUCACCAAGGCGACGAUCAGUAGCUGGUCUGAGAGGAUGAUCAGCCUCACUGGGCCUGAGACACGGCCCAGACUCCUACGGGAGGCAGCAGUGGGGAAUAUUGGACAAUGGGCGCAAGCCUGAUCCAGCCAUGCCGCGUGGAUGAUGAAGGCCCUAGGGUUGUAAAGUCCUUUCGGCGGGGAAGAUAAUGACGGUACCCGCAGAAGAAGCCCCGGCUAACUUCGUGCCAGCCGCCGCGGUAAAAC